rnacentral:rRNA from 1 species
CGCCUCUUGCAAACCUAUAAGAGGUCCAGCCUGCCCAGUGACACACGCUCAACGGCCGCGGUACCCUGACCGUGCUAAGGUAGCACAAUCACUUGUUCUCUAAAUCAGGACAUGUAUGAAUGGCAUCACGAGGAUUAAGCUGUCUCCCUCUUUCAAUCAGUGAAACUAAUCCCCCUGUGAAAAAGCAGGGAUAACUAUAUAAGACGAGAAGACCCUAUGGAGCUUCAAACUAAAUAGUAUGUGCUCAAGCCUUCUGACGAAUUAACACCAAUCGCACUUUACCUACGAGUUUUUGGUUGGGGCGACCCUGGAGAAAAACCCACCCUCCAUGCUGAUAACUUAAAAUUUAAACCCAAAGGCCACAACCUUACAGAUCAGCAAACUGACACCUAUUGACCCAAAUAUUUGACCAACGAACCAAGUUACCCUAGGGAUAACAGCGCUAUCCACUUUAAGAGUGCAUAUCGACAAGUGGGCUUACGACCUCGAUGUUGGAUCAGGGUACCCCAGUGGUGCAGCCGCUACUAAAGGUUCGUUUGUUCAACGAUUAAAACCCU